AAGGGAGUCUGUGUCCUAGGGAAGCAAGCACAGGCCUAUCUAUGCAGUGGGCACACGGCCCAGUUUUGCAGGACCUGGGUGAUCACCCAAGGAGUGAAAAUGGCCUUUUUAUGAGAAAUUGCCAAAAUUGAUGCAAGCUCAUCAGUCGAAAAGGUAGAAAUAUCGUUUGACUUCUGUUUUGCUGACAAGAAAUGUGGUCCUGACAAGGCUACCUGGGACAAUGACCUCACACA